UGCUCCGGUGCCGUCGGCGGUCUUCCCCAAGGAACACGAGUGGGAAAGGAACCGAACCAAGCCCCACCCCUCCCGCCCGUGGCGCACGCUCACUCCCGCGAGUGAACAUCGCCAACUCGGCUGGAUUCGUGACGGGUUGCCUGCCCUACGCUCAGCGCAGCACGGCACAUCAACCCCAGACGCACGACGGCCCUCGCCGGGACGGCAAUCCCACUGCGAGGGCCUGACCACCAAGGAAGUCAGCCCUUCCCG
rnacentral:ncRNA from 1 species